rnacentral:rRNA from 1 species
AAACCGUCCGGUGGAUGGCUCGGCUCGGGCGCCGACGAAGGGCGCGGCAAGCGGCGAAAUACCUGGGGGAGGCGCAAGCAGCCUUCGAUCCCAGGAUCCCCUAAUGGGACUUCCCACCCGGCGCCAAAAGUGUCGGGUUAAGCUCCGGUGUCUCACCGGAGCGGGAACCCCCCGAACGGAAGCAUCUUAGUAGGGGGAGGAGGAGAAAUCAAUUGAGAUUCCCUGAGUAGGGGCGACCGAAAGGGGAACAGCCCAAACCAAACCCGCUGUCGAUGAGGCAGUGGGGAUGUGGUGUUUCUGGCCCUGAACCUGGGGCAACCCGGCUCUCCUAACCCGCAUAGCCGAACUCACCUGGAAUGGUGGGCCACAGAGGGUGAUAGCCCCGUAGGCGAAAUGCGGGUGGAGGGCGGUUCAGGGCAGAGUACUAUCCCCUAGUUUGGGGGUAGGAAGAUGGGGGACACGUGCCUCCAAGGCUAAAUACUACCCGAGACCGAUAGCGAACUUAGUACCGUGAGGGAAAGCUGAAAAGAACCCCGGGAGGGGAGUGAAAAGAGCCUGAAACCGGACGGUCACAGAGGGUAGGGCCCGAAAGGGCUGACUCCCCCCGAAGGAAAGGGGUGCGAGCCCUGAGUACGAGGGGGGUGACCGGGGUCCUACCAUUCGUCUUGAAACACGGGCCGGGGAGUUCACGCUGGUGGCGAGCCUAAGGCGUUCAACGCCGAAGGCGUAGGGAAACCGAGGAUCCGCAACCCGGGCGACCGGGUGAGGGAUCGGGUCUGUCAGGGCCUUGAGUCACCGGUGUGAGACUAGAAACCGGGCGAUCUAGACCAGGGCAGGCCGAAGCCGGGGGAAACCUCGGUGGAGGGCCGAAUAGGGGUUCUGACGUGCAAUUCGUUCCCUUGACCCUGGUCUAGGGGCAAAAGACCAAUCUAGCCCGGUGAUAUCUAGUUCCCUCCGAAAUGCGUCCUAGCGCAGCCUCCCUGGAGGUUGCUCGUGGGGUAGAGUUACUGAUUGGGGGCCUCUGGCGAAAGCCAGAGGAACUCAGUCAAACUCCGAACCUGCGGGCACCAGAGAAGGGGGGAGUGGAUCACCCGGCGUAAGGUUGGGUGGUAAGAGGGGAACAACCCAGACCCGGGUUAAGGUCCCUAAGUGCUGGCUAAGUGCCAAUCAGAAAGGGCGUCCCAUGCCUUAGACAGCGGGGAGGUGGGCCCAGCAGCAGCCAUCCUCUAAGGAGUGCGUAACAGCUCACCCGCCGAGGCCUGGGGCCCUGCAGAUUGGUCGGGGCUCAAGCCAGCCACCGAUACCCGGGGGGUGGUACCCUAUGGGUGCCGCUCGGUAGGGGGGCGCCACGGUGGGCCAGAAGGCGGGCCGUGAGGUCCGCUGGACCCUCCGCGGGUGCAGAUCCCGGCGGCAGUAAUAGCGAAGGAGGGUGAGAAUCCCUCCCGCCGAAAGGGCAAGGGUUUCCCGGCAAUGGUCGUCAGCCGGGAGUUAGCCGGUCCUAAGGUAGGGCCUAACUGGUACCUACCGAAAGGGAAAGGGGUUAAUAUUCCCCUGCCACGGGGGUAGGUGCGGCAACGCAAGCCGGACUCCUAACGGAUCGGGCUAGGGGGACGUAAGCCAAACGCUUAAGCCCCUGGAGAGCCGUAAUGGUGAGAAGGGGGUGAAGGCGCGAUGGGCCCUCCGUUAGGAGGGUUCUCCUGAUGCCUGGUCCCCAUGAAAAGGGAGUCCGGAACGAUCCCCCGUGACCGUACCUAGAACCGACACAGGUGCCCCUGGGUGAGAAGCCCAAGGCGCAUGGGGGCUAACCCAGGCUAGGGAACUCGGCAAAUUGGCCCCGUACCUUCGGAAGAAGGGGUGCCUACCACAGUAGUAAUCCUGCUGUGGUAGGUUGCAGUGACCAGGGGGGCCUGACUGUUUAAUAAAAACAUAGGUCCCCGCUAGCCCGUAAGGGUGUGAACGGGGGCUGAAUCCUGGCCACUGGCGGUCGGUGAAACCCGGGUACAACCGGGCGAAGCCCCGCUGAAGGCCGGGGGUAACUCUGACCCUCUCAAGGUAGCCAAAUGCCUUGCCGGGCAAGUUCCGGCGUGCAUGAAUGGAUCAACUGGGCCCCCACUGUCCCAGCCUGGGGCCCCGUGAACGCCCAGAGUGGGUUCACAGUCCCGCAACCCCCUACACCGAGAGAAGACCCCGUGGAGCUUCACUGCAGCCUGGCGUUGGUUCCCGGGCGCUCAUGCGUAGAGUAGGUGGGAGGCGUCGAAGCCGCCUCUUCGGGGGCGGUGGAGCCGAAAGUGAAACACCACCCAUGAGCGCUCGAGAACCUAACCCCGAGAGGGGGACAGCGUCAGGUGGGCAGUUCGGCUGGGGCGGCACUCCCGCGAAAAGAUAACACGGGAGCCCAAAGGUCGGCUCAGGCGGUACAGAACGCCG